CAAAAUAAAAAGAAAAAAACCUUUUGGUCUUUUUUUUUUUAGCUUCUAUAUCUUUCUGUUUACAUUUUCCAUGUUUCUUCCACUGGACAGGUAAUAAUUUAUUUUAGAUGAUAAAUUAUAACCCUCUAGCUUGUGUAAACAUUCACUUGCUGGGGAGUUGCCAGUGGGCUAUUUUACCAAAAUUUGGCUUUUAAGAUAUUCAAUUGCAUAAAUAGGGGAAUUUCAAAAAA
rnacentral:misc_RNA from 1 species